AAUCAACGCUGGCGGCGUGCCUCAGACAUGCAAGUCGAACGAUUAAACUUCUCUUCGGAGAAGAUAUAAAGUGGCGCACGGGUGAGUAACACGUAAGUAAUCUACCUUCGAGUGGGGAAUAACGUUCGGAAACGAACGCUAAUACCGCAUAAUGCAGCGGCAUCGCAAGAUGACAGUUGUUAAAGAUUUAUCGCUUGAAGAGGAGCUUGCGGCAGAUUAGCUAGUUGGUAAGGUAACGGCUUACCAAGGCGACGAUCUGUAUCCGGUCUAAGAGGACGGUCGGACACACUGACACUGAAUAACGGGUCAGACUCCUACGGGAGGCAGCAGUCGGGAAUUUGGGCAAUGGGCGAAAGCCUGACCCAGCAACGCCGCGUGAAGGAUGAAGUAUUUCGGUAUGUAAACUUCGUAAGAAUAGAAGAAUAAAUGACGGUACUAUUUGUAAGGUCCGGCUAACUACGUGCCAGCAGCCGCCGUAA
rnacentral:rRNA from 1 species